rnacentral:rRNA from 1 species
GAUGAACGCAGGCGGCGUGCCUAAUACAUGCAAGUCGAGCGAACAGACGAGGAGCUUGCUCCUCUGACGUUAGCGGCGGACGGGUGAGUAACACGUGGAUAACCUACCUAUAAGACUGGGAUAACUUCGGGAAACCGGAGCUAAUACCGGAUAAUAUAUUGAACCGCAUGGUUCAAUAGUGAAAGACGGUUUUGCUGUCACUUAUAGAUGGAUCCGCGCCGCAUUAGCUAGUUGGUAAGGUAACGGCUUACCAAGGCAACGAUGCGUAGCCGACCUGAGAGGGUGAUCGGCCACACUGGAACUGAGACACGGUCCAGACUCCUACGGGAGGCAGCAGUAGGGAAUCUUCCGCAAUGGGCGAAAGCUUGACGGAGCAACACCGCGUGAGUGAUGAAGGUCUUCGGAUCGUAAAACUCUGUUAUUAGGGAAGAACAAAUGUGUAAGUAACUAUGCACGUCUUGACGGUACCUAAUCAGAAAGCCACGGCUAACUACGUG